rnacentral:rRNA from 1 species
AUUGAACGCUGGCGGCAGGCCUAACACAUGCAAGUCGAGCGGAGCGGCGGACGGGUGAGUAAUGCCUAGGACUCUGCCUGUUAGUGGGGGAUAACGUCCGGUAACGGGCGCUAAUACCGCAUACUAUCAAUUGAGCCUAGGUCGGAGUAGCUAGUUGGUGGGGUAAAGGCCUACCAAGGCGACGCUCCGUAACUGGUCUGAGAGGAUGAUCAGUCACACUGGAACGGAGACACGGUCCAGACUCCGACGUGAGACAGCAGUGGGGAAUAUUGUACAAUGGGCGCAAGCCUGAUGCAGCCAUGCCGCGUGUAUGAAGAAGGCCUUCGGGUUGUAAAGUACUUUCAGCGGGGAGGCGGUACCCGCAGAAGAAGCACCGGCUAACUCCGUGCCAGCCGCCGCGGUAAUAC